rnacentral:rRNA from 1 species
CAGCGCCACGAGUGGCAAUCAUGUUUAUUUGGCCUAAAGCGUCCGUAGCUGGUUAAGUAAAUCUCUUGUGAAAUCGUUUCGCUCAACGAAACGGCGUGCAGGAGAGACUGCUUGGCUAGAGACCGGGAGGAGUCAGAGGUAUGCUGGGGGGAGCGGUAAAAUGCUAUAAUCCCCGGUAGACCACCUGUGGCGAAGGCGUCUGACUAGAACGGGUCUGACAGUGAGGGACGAAAGCCAGGGGAGCAAACCGGAUUAGAUACCCCUGUAGUCC